rnacentral:rRNA from 1 species
AUGGUUGAGGGAACCAAUGAUAGUGAAGUCAAUGAUGAUGGAGAAGAGGAGAUCAUUGACUUCUAUGGUCAACUGAAAGAAAUCAUCAAGUUGCAGUAUAACUCUACCCAUGGUGUCAAUCGUUCAGUAGUCUUAUUUCGUUGUGAUUGGUUUGAUCUGGAUGCCAAAAAGACAGGACUUAAAGAUGAUGGACAUUUCAAAAGCAUCAAUAUUGGAAAAUGCUGGUAUAAAAAUGAUCCUUUUAUUCUGGCAACACAGUCAACAAAGGUCUUUUAUUUACAAGACACAAAGUAUGGUGGAGAUUGGAGAGUUGUGCAGAAAUUUCAGCAUAGACAUUUGUGGAGUGUGACUUCCUGA